rnacentral:tRNA from 1 species
GCCCUGGUGGUACAGUGGUCAAGCACUUGGCUGCCAACCAAAAGGUUGGUGGUUUGAAUCCCCCAGGGCU